AUGUCCGUUUUUAAUCAUCGUCAAAACCACAGUCGACUCUAUAAAAUCGCGUGGAGGCGAAACCGGUGGGUUUGUGUACGCGCGUGUGUGUGUGUGUGUGUGUGUGUGUGUGUGUGUGUGUGUGUGUGUGUGUGUGUGUGUGUGUGUGUGUGUGUGUGUGUGAGUGUGUGUGUGUGUGUGUUAGUACAAAGAUUUCCAUAAGCUAAGACACCCAGAAGGCAGAUUGCUGGUUUGGGAGUGCGCACGUGCCCAUUAGUGAUUAGUAGCUUUUUCCUGUUAAUCAGUGUCUUUAUGCUAAUUAGCACUAACCGGUGUAUUUUUCCCUUUAAAGCGUACAUGUGUUAGUGUGAACAUACACACAUAGCAAAAGACUCCCAAACACCAGACACCCGAAGAGCAAAUCAGCAGCUUUUACACCUUAAAAAAAAGCAAAAGCUUUGUUUCACCGCAAAAGCUCCAAAAGCCAAAGAGAUGAGUAGCAGAGUUAAUUCAGCGUGAUUUAUUAGCAAGGUCACUUCUUAGCAAGGGGUUAGGACAGGGUCAUUAAAAUCAGACAAGACCAAAAAGCAAAAAAAAAAAAAAAGAAGAA